rnacentral:rRNA from 1 species
AUUGAACGCUGGCGGCAGGCUUAACACAUGCAAGUCGAACGAGUGGCGGACGGGUGGGUAAUGCUUGGGAAUCUGGCUUAUGGAGGGGGAUAACGAGGGGAAACUGUAGAUAAUAGCGCUUACCAUCGGUUCGGCCCAAGUGGGUUUAGGUAGUUGGGGAGGUAAAGGCUCACCAAGACGACGAGCUCUAGCUGGCCUGAGAGGAUGACCAGCCACACUGGGACUGAGACACGGCCCAGACGCCUACGGGAGGCAGCAGUGGGGAAUAUUGCACAAUGGGCGAAAGCCUGAUGCAGCAAUGCCGAGUGUAUGAAGAAGGCCUUAGGGUUGUAAAGUACUUUCAUCGGGGAGGCGUUACCUACACAAGAAGCAACGGCUAACUCCGUGCCAGCAGCCGCGGUAAUAC